rnacentral:rRNA from 1 species
UACGAAGGGCGCUAGCGUUGUUCGGAAUUACUGGGCGUAAAGGGCGCGUAGGCGGCUUGGCAAGUUGGGUGUGAAAGCCCAGGGCUCAACCCUGGAACUGCACUCAAGACUGCCUUGCUUGAAUUCGGUAGAGGUUGGUGGAAUUCCCAGUGUAGAGGUGAAAUUCGUAGAGAUUGGGAAGAACACCCGUGGCGAAGGCGGCCAACUGGACCGACAUUGACGCUGAGGCGCGAAAGCGUGGGGAUCAAAC